rnacentral:lncRNA from 1 species
AAGAAACUGCCUUGCUCCUUCCACCAUGGGAGGACACAGCGUUUGUCUCUUCUGCCAUGUGAAGGCUGAGCAACAAGGUGCUAUCUUGAAAGCACAAACUGGGUCCUCAGGAUAUAGUAAAUCUUUUGAGGUCUUCCAGCCCCUAAAACUGGCAAUGAGGGCUUCCAUUCUGGCUCUUCACCAUGAUAACCUUGGGGGCUUCCUGGAUUUAAAACCCAGGAAAGCAGGGGUUGAGAAGGGAGAGCCUUUGACCAUGGUCUCUAGCAGUUUUUCACUCUCCUAAAUGUCCACGUUCAGCCUCCAGCAAGUUGUCGAAGUCACCAGACAAGGUUUUGCUGUAUUGCCUACUACACUGGAGUGCAGUAGUGCCAUCAUAGCUUACUGCAACCUCGAACUUCCGGGCUCAAGAGACCCCCCUGCCUCAGCCUCCCAAGUAGCUGGGACUACAGGGACACACCACCAUCCCUGGCUAAUUUUCUUUUUGUGUAGAGUCGGGGUCUCUCUAUGCCGUCCAUGAUGGACUCAAACCCCUGAGCUCACAUGAUCCUCCUCCCUCGCUCAGCCUCCCCAAGUGCUGAGAUUUACAGGUGUGAGCCACUGCGCCUGGCCCCCCUUUAUCUUUCACAGGCAUUUCCCAAUAAAUUUAUUUCCUUUCUAAUUCCUGUUGAUAAAUGCUUCAUGGAGCACCCAAACUGGCAUAGUUUAUGAUUUCUGAUGUUCUAUUCUAUUCCGUUACUGUGAAAGGAGACCUGGUUUUCCAUCACAUUCUCCCCUAAGUGAGAACUCUGGGGAAGACACACUGACUGCUAGAUUUUGCUUAGGAUGUGCAAGCAACGUAUGUCUGUCAGGCUUUGUCUAAUCUGUGUUCUAGAAUAAGGGGAGCUUAUUCGAGAAUGUCAACUUCCAAGAUUGGACGUUUUUACUUUCUCUAAAAUAUUUCAUUUUAGAGAAAUGAAGUAUUUUUUUUUUUCUUAAAAUAAAAUUAUCUGGUGUUUUCCCUAAGGGCAAAUGCCAGGAGCAUAUGCUCUAUAUGUUUUGCCUCGGGUGGGGUUGGGGUUAAAUCCAGG